GCAUUGGUCAUUCAGUGGUUGAAUUCUCACCUUCUAUGUAGGAGACUGGGGUUUGAUUCCCAGCCAAUGCA
rnacentral:tRNA from 1 species